GAAAAUGGGGCUGGGGUCACUGAAAAGGGGCUUGGAUCCCCUUCGAGCAGUGGGGCACGCUGACCGACUGUGUGGUGAGGGCACCCCCAAAAAUGGGCUGGGGUACCCAGAAAUGGGGCUGGGGUACCCAGAAAUGGGGCUGGGAUGUGUGAAAUGGGGCUGGGGUACCCAAAAAUGGGCUUGGGAUCCACUUCGAGCAGUGGGGCACGCUGACCGACUGCGUGGUGAUGCGGGACCCCAACACGAAGCGCUCGCGGGGCUUCGGCUUCGUCACCUACUCAUCAGUGGAGGAGGUCGAUGCUGCCAUGAACGCGCGGCCACACAAGGUGGACGGCAGGGUGGUGGAGCCCAAACGGGCCGUGUCCAGAGAGGUGAGGGACAUUGGGGACAUUGGGGACACUGAGGGGACACUGGGGACAUUGGGGACAAUGGGGACAAUGGCGGGGUGGUGGAGCCCAAACGGGCCGUGUCCAGAGAGGUGAGGGACAUUGGGGACACUGAGGGGACACUGAGGGGACAAUGGCGGGGUGGUGGAGCCCAAGCGGGCCGUGUCCAGAGAGGUGAGGGACAAUGGGGACACUGAGGGGACACUGGGGACACUGAGGGGACAAUGGGGACACUGAGGGGACAAUGGUGGGGUGGUGGAGCCCAAACGGGCCGUGUCCAGAGAGGUGAGGGACACUGGGGACACUGAGAGGACACUGGGGACAUUGGGGACACUGAGGGGACAUGGCAGGGUGGUGGAGCCCAAGCGGGCCGUGUCCAGAGAGGUGAGGGACAUUGGGGACACUGAGGGGACACUGAGGGGACAAUGGCAGGGUGGUGGAGCCCAAACGGGCUGUGUCCAGAGCAGUGAGGGGACAAUGGUGACAGGGGUGGCGGUGGCUGUGCUGGGUCCUCAUGGCAGUGACAUUGGGGACAGGGAUGGUGGCAGUGGCCAUGCCUGCUGCCUAGCGGUGGCCCUGGGGACAGUGACAGGGACAUUGUCCAUGCCUGCUCUGGGUGGUGGCGCUGGGGACAGGGAUGGUAUGGCAUGACCAGCAGGCAGUGGUCAUGCCUGGUGCUCUGGAUGGUGGGACAAGGACAUUGUCCGUGCCUGCUGCCUGAUGGUGGCCCUGGGGACAGUGACAGGGACAUUCUCCAUGCCUGGUGCUCCAGGUGGUGGCCCUGGGGACAGUGACAGUGGCUGUGCCUGCUGCUCAUAGCAGUGUCCCUGGGAAUAGGGACAUUGUCCAUACCUGCUCUGGAUGGUGGCAUUGGGGACAGGGAUGGUGGCAGUGGCCAUGCCUGGUG
rnacentral:lncRNA from 1 species